GUAAUCCUUUCCCUCCUCACACCUUCCAAAGGACCUCCUCAUCCUGAGACGCCACCUGGGGGUGGGGGGUGGUGGUUAGGGUAACCAGGGGAUGGGUGCCCCGGGCCAGCGGGAGAACUAGCUCCUGCAAGCCGCACCAGUCGGGCGCCCCGCGGUCCGCGCAGAGUUAACUGUGGCUCGCGCAGCUCCCCGGCUCCCGCGCGCGCGCGCGCCCACACUCGCGGUCCAGAUUUAAGGUGGUCGGGAGCAGAUGAGGGAGAUGGAGGGAGAAGAUGGAAGGAGAAUGGCCCUGUUCUCAGCCUCCACGACUCCUCUUUGCUCCAGCUCUGGCCCGCCACCCUAAGGCUAGUCUCCUAGGCUUCCCGUACAGCAGGUACCCGGUGGCGAGAUGCGCGUCGCGUCGCGUCGCGCGGGCUGUUCUACUCUUGUUUUCUCUAGCCCCCGCCCCCUGCACUUGCGCCCCGCCAGCGCCGCUCCGCCAGCCGCUUGGCGCACCUAGCCCUAAAGGUUGAAAAUUAAAGCGAUUGCGAAGCCGGCAAGUUCCAAGUCCCUCCCCUAAGGUACUGAGGGCUCUGGAGAAAUGAGGAGCAUCCUUAAAGAAAUAUCAAUACAGUCUCUGACCGGCACAGUUGAGGACGAUGGGAUCGCAAUCAGGGCCAGCCCGGGGCACACCAGCAGCGAGGAAGCAAGGAUCACCAGAAAACAUCUGGCCAGCAGCAGCAGCAUCUCGUCCGCGGAACCAGAAGACUUGUGAGCUGUCCCCGCGCUGUCUGUGCGCGAGCGGGUACGCGCGGGUGUGUGCGUGUGCGCUCCUCCUUGCGCUCGGCUCUCCCUUCCUCGCUCGGCUCGUUCGUUCCCUCUGGCGCUGCCUGGCUCUUUCUCUUCCUAUAUAACCUUGCCUGCCGGUGCUGCAGGGGACUUGUCUCCGAUCCCCACCCAGACAGGGGCUGCGAUGGCAGGGUGCCGGUCGCUAGUAACGGAACACAUCGGAGUUGGGUCUCGAGACAGCAAUUAAAAGACAAAAAGAGCCCGAUUUUAAAUGGUAGCAAGGCUGGAGAGCUUGUGAGACAGGCUGCCUUUCGCACUAUAUUAUAGCUGGCAGGGGCGCAUCUGAUUGGCCAAGCCGCACAAGCUUGUCUUCUGAUGUUAACCCUGAGAAAGACUACAUUUCUCCCCCCUCUGACUGCUGUGGCUUUAUUUUCACCUGAAGGCUUCCAGUUAAAAAAAGAAAAAAAAAAGAAAAAAAAAAACUCUUUACUAAGGUAAAGGUGGGUGGGAGGAAGGAGGCCUGUUUAUUGGAAUAAAUCCCCUGCCCUGCC